GAAGGCCUGUAGCUCAGUGGAAGAGCAUCUGCUUUGCAUGUAGAAGGUCUCAUGUUCAAUGCCUGGCAUCUUCA